GGAAUAUUGGUCAAUGGGCGGAAGCCUGAACCAGCCAUGCCGCGUGCGGGAUGUAGGUCCUAUGGAUUGUGAACCGCUUUUGCAGUGGAGCAAUAAGGUGGUCGUGACCAGCGAUGAGAGUACACUGCGAAUAAGCAUCGGCUAACUCCGUGCCAGCAGCCGCGGUAAUACGGAGGAUGCGAGCGUUAUCCGGAAUCAUUGGGUUUAAAGGGUGCGUAGGCGGCCUUUCAAGCCCGGGGUGAAAAUCUGGGGCCCAACCCCAGACCUGCCUCGGGAACUGGCUGGCUGGAGUACGCUUGCCGCGGGAGGAAUGAGUGGUGUAGCGGUGAAAUGCAUAGAUAUCACUCAGAACACCGAUUGCGAAGGCAUCCCGCGAAGGCGCGACUGACGCUGAGGCACGAAAGCGUGGGGAUCGAACA
rnacentral:rRNA from 1 species